rnacentral:rRNA from 1 species
UACGUAGGGUGCGAGCGUUGUCCGGAAUUAUUGGGCGUAAAGAGCUCGUAGGCGGUGUGUCACGUCGGCCGUGAAAACCUGCAGCUUAACUGUGGGCUUGCGGUCGAUACGGGCAUCACUGGAGUUCGGCAGGGGAGACUGGAAUUCCUGGUGUAGCGGUGAAAUGCGCAGAUAUCAGGAGGAACACCGGUGGCGAAAGGCGGGUCUCUGGGCCGAUACUGACGCUGGAGGAG